rnacentral:rRNA from 1 species
GACGAACGCUGGCGGCGUGCCUAAUACAUGCAAGUAGAACGCACAGUUUAUACCGUAGCUUGCUACACCAUAGACUGUGAGUUGCGAACGGGUGAGUAACGCGUAGGUAACCUGCCUGGUAGCGGGGGAUAACUACUGGAAACGAUAGCUAAUACCGCAUAAUAUUGAUUAUUGCAUGAUAAUUGAUUGAAAGAUGCUAUUGCAUCACUACCAGAUGGACCUGCGUUGUAUUAGCUAGUAGGUGAGGUAACGGCUCACCUAGGCGACGAUACAUAGCCGACCUGAGAGGGUGAUCGGCCACACUGGGACUGAGACACGGCCCAGACUCCUACGGGAGGCAGCAGUAGGGAAUCUUCGGCAAUGGACGAAAGUCUGACCGAGCAACGCCGCGUGAGUGAAGAAGGUUUUCGGAUCGUAAAGCUCUGUUGUAAGAGAAGAACGGGUGUGAGAGUGGAAAGUUCACACUGUGACGGUAUCUUACCAGAAAGGGACGGCUAACUACGUG